GACGAACCGUGCGAACGUUGUUCGGAUUCACUGGGCUUAAAGGGCGCGUAGGCGGGUUACCAAGUCAGGGGUGAAAUCUUUCGGCUCAACCGGAAAACGGCCCCUGAUACUGGUAGUCUUGAGGGAGGUAGGGGCAGGUGGAACUUCCGGUGGAGCGGUGAAAUGCGUAGAUAUCGGGAGGAACACCAGUGGCGAAGGCGACUACCUGGCCCAUUCUUGACGCUGAGGCGCGAAAGCUAGGGGAGCGAACGGG
rnacentral:rRNA from 1 species